CUUCAUCCAUCUGAUUUCCACGCUAUUGGUAGAUUCGUUCAGAAACACAGUGAUGUUUAAAGGUGCUACAGAUGGAGCUACAAGAGAAAGAGAGGAAGAUGAAGAGCUACAAGGAAAUACCACACAGGUACUCUCUUGGGAAGCUACUUAAGAAUGUGCUCAACCCAGUGAAAUGCUGACUGUAACAGGUCACAACCCGUUGUUGAGGGACAUUAUGGCAGGAACCUCCAGCAGAAACCAUGGAGGAAGGAACCACUGCUGGCUGAGACAGGAGGGUCUCUAAGAGUUCGAGGUCAAUCUGGACUACCUACGAGUUCAAGGCCAGCCAAGACCAUAUAGUGAGACAAUUCUCAAACAAACAACCUAACUAGGACACCCUCCAGACAACUGUGAAGUCAGAAUUUUAUUUAAUUAAAAAAUGACAUUUUCAA